rnacentral:antisense_RNA from 2 species
UGCAAUGGCAGCUGUGCGUGGGCAGGCCUUUGGCCUGGCCGGUUUUUGCUGACUCCCUACCGGACUCUCACCCCGCGUACGGCUGCCACCCUU